rnacentral:rRNA from 2 species
AAGGCCUUUUGGUUGUAAAGCACUUUAAGCGAGGAGGAGGCUACCUAGAUUAAUACUUUAGGAUAGUGGACGUUACUCGCAGAAUAAGCACCGGCUAACUCUGUGCCAGCAGCCGCGGUAAUACAGAGGGUGCGAGCGUUAAUCGGAUUUACUGGGCGUAAAGCGUGCGUAGGCGGCCAAUUAAGUCAAAUGUGAAAUCCCCCGAGCUUAACUUGGGAAUUGCAUUCGAUACUGGUUGGCUAGAGUAUGGGAGAGGAUGGUAGAAUUCCAGGUGUAGCGGUGAAAUGCGUAGAGAUCUGGAGGAAUACCGAUGGCGAAGGCAGCCAUCUGGCCUAAUACUGACGCUGAGGUACGAAAGCAUGGGGAGCAAACAGGAUUAGAUACCCUGGUAGUCCAUGCCGUAAACGAUGUCUACUAGCCGUUGGGGCCCUUGAGGCUUUAGUGGCGCAGCUAACGCGAUAAGUAGACCGCCUGGGGAGUACGGUCGCAAGACUAAAACUCAAAUGAAUUGACGGGGGCCCGCACAAGCGGUGGAGCAUGUGGUUUAAUUCGAUGCAACGCGAAGAACCUUACCUGGCCUUGACAUACAGAGAACUUUCCAGAGAUGGAUUGGUGCCUUCGGGAACUCUGAUACAGGUGCUGCAUGGCUGUCGUCAGCUCGUGUCGUGAGAUGUUGGGUUAAGUCCCGCAACGAGCGCAACCCUUUUCCUUAUUUGCCAGCACUUCGGGUGGGAACUUUAAAGGAUACUGCCAGUGACAAACUGGAGGAAGGCGGGGACGACGUCAAGUCAUCAUGGGCCC